rnacentral:rRNA from 1 species
CCUACGGGAGGCAGCAGUCGAGAAUCAUUCACAAUGGGGGAAACCCUGAUGGUGCGACGCCGCGUGGGGGAAUGAAGGUCUUCGGAUUGUAAACCCCUGUCAUGUGGGAGCAAAUUAAAAAGAUAGUACCACAAGAGGAAGAGACGGCUAACUCUGUGCCAGCAGCCGCGGUAAUACAGAGGUCUCAAGCGUUGUUCGUAAUCACUGGGCGUAAAGCGUGCGUAGGCUGUUUCGUAAGUCGUGUGUGAAAGGCGAGGGCUCAACCCGCGGACGGCACAUGAUACUGCGAGACUAGAGUAAUGGAGGGGGAACCGGAAUUCUAGGUGUAGCAGUGAAAUGCGUAGAUAUCGAGAGGAACACUCGUGGCGAAGGCGGGUUCCUGGACAUUAACUGACGCUGAGGCACGAAGGCCAGGGGAGCGAAAGGGAUUAGAUACCCUUGUAGUC